CUAUUUACUUGUAAAUAUAAUGAAUAAAUUUAUGAAAAAGAAAAAAGUGCUUCCAGGAAUGACCCUUCCAUUGCACUUCGGUUGGGUUGAAGCCUGCGAUUACCCCUAAUGUGGGUAACUCGGGCACGCAAUUUAUUUGUGUAGGGGUCUGCGUUCGCGCUAACCCCUG